ACGAACGCUGGCGGCGUGCUUAACACAUGCAAGUCGAACGGAAAGGCCUCUUUCGGGGGGUACUCGAGUGGCGAACGGGUGAGUAACACGUGAGUAACCUGCCCUUGACUUUGGGAUAACUUCAGGAAACUGGGGCUAAUACCGGAUAGGAGCUCCUGCUGCAUGGUGGGGGUUGGAAAGUUUCGGCGGUUGGGGAUGGACUCGCGGCUUAUCAGCUUGUUGGUGGGGUAGUGGCUUACCAAGGCUUUGACGGGUAGCCGGCCUGAGAGGGUGACCGGCCACAUUGGGACUGAGAUACGGCCCAGACUCCUACGGGAGGCAGCAGCGGGGAAGAUUGCACAAUGGGUGGAAGCCUGAUGCAGCAACGCCGUGUGCGGGAUGACGGCCUUCGGGUUGGAAACCGCUUUCGCUCAUGACGAAGCUUUGUGUGACGGUAGUGGGUAAAGAAGCACCGGCUAACUACGUG
rnacentral:rRNA from 1 species